rnacentral:rRNA from 1 species
GACGAACGCUGGCGGCGUGCUUAACACAUGCAAGUCGAACGGGAAGGCCCUGCUUUUGUGGGGUGCUCGAGUGGCGAACGGGUGGGUAACACGUGAGUAACCUGCCCUUGACUUUGGGAUAACUUCAGGAAACUGGGGCUAAUACUGGAUAGGAGCUCCUGCUGCAUGGUGGGGGUUGGAAAGUUUCGGCGGUUGGGGAUGGACUCGCGGCUUAUCAGCUUGUUGGUGGGGUAGUGGCUUACCAAGGCUUUGACGGGUAGCCGGCCUGAGAGGGUGACCGGCCACAUUGGGACUGAGAUACGGCCCAGACUCCUACGGGAGGCAGAAGUGGGGAAUAUUGCACAAUGGGCGGAAGCCUGAUGCAGCAACGCCGCGUGCGGGAUGACGGCCUUCGGGUUGUAAACCGCUUUCGCCUGUGACGAAGCGUGAGUGACGGUAAUGGGUAAAGAAGCACCGGCUAACUACGUG